rnacentral:lncRNA from 1 species
GAGACAGGAUUUCCUUCUGUCACUCAGUGGCACAAUCUCGACUCAUUGCAACCUCCACCUCCCAGGCUCAGGGCUCAAGUGAUCUUCUUGCCUUAGUCUCCCAAGUAGCUGGGACCAAAGGCACAUGCCACCAUGCCCAGCUAAAUUUUGUAUGUUUUGUAGACAGAGGGUUUCACCAUGUUGCCCAGGCUGGUUUUGAACUCCUGAGGUCAAGCAAUCUGCCUUCCUGGGCCUCCCAAAGUGCUGGGAUUACAAGCAUGAGCCAUUGUGCGUGGCUAAUAUAUUUAUUCUUUAUAUUUACUUUCUUUUUUUUCAUUUAAAAUUUUUAUAAACAAUCAGCAAAAAAGCAAUAAUAUAUUAAAAGUAAAUACGAUGUAACAUAGAGGUAUAAAAGAGUCAUACAUGGACUCGAGGUCUGACUUCUCAUACACGGACUCGAGGUCUGACUUCUCAUACACAAUCACAUCCUUACCAGAUGUCAUAGGUCUGUUCAACUACUUUUAGUAAUGGGAGUUCAUAGCUUUUUGAUGCAGCCCAUUAUAUUGUUGGGCACCUGUUCUUGAUUGCAAGUUCUUUAUAAAACUGAACCAGAAAACUCUUUCCUAUAAUUUUUGUAUGAAGGUAUAUAGCCUCAUGUUAUACAGAAAAGCACAGAAAAUAGUUAUCUCUCAUCUACAAAAUAAUCAUCCACCAGAGGUGGACAUACUGAGAAAUUAAUAAAGCUUACGCUUCAAGACUCGUGUUCAUGAGCCAUUUUCAAAGCUCCAUAUAAUAAUAAUAGUUCUGAAAUUUUUUCAAAUUUGAAAAAAUAAGAUAUUUUGAUCAUGAUCAAUUAGGACAACUCUCCCUUCCUAAUCCAAUUUCUCCAUUACAUUUCCCUUCAUAUUAGUUGGUUUUGGAGAGGCUGGGGGUAGAUCUAGUUAUAGGCAGCUUCAGUUUGGAAUGCACUUAGUUUGGGUUUAGUGGGGUUUGUAAUGUGGCUCUCAGUAAUUUUCAUGUAUUUUACAGUUGUUUUUACUCAGUUUGAUAAGUAGGAAUCACUUCUAGAAAAUUACUACUGCUCACUCUGCCACAAUACAUAGAUGUGAGGCUACAGGUCAUACCAAAAUAUGAAUACAUCCUAAGAGUCUCACAGCAAAAUUUGGUGGUUAGCAGAUGUUUUAGUAUAUGGAAAUAGAAUUAGUUGAUCAAAAUUUAUCUAGUCAUUAGAUUUGUAAAAUUAUUAAGUUGAAGUGUCUCUAACCAAUGUUUUCUAUUCUCAGGAAUAUGCAGGGUAAUGGAGCAUAUACAAUUAUAAACACACCACAUAUACUUUUUCAUUUUUGAUGGAAAUUGCAAAAAAUAUAAUUUAUCAGAAUUUCUAUGUUUAUAGUAUAUACAAUUGUAGUGGUCCUAUAAACAGUGAGUAUAUCUAUAAAAGCUCAUAAACAAAAGAAACUUGAUAGGGAGUUUUACUAAUUUGUUAACAAUCCUAAAAAUGUAUAUGGCAUUUGCAACAAUGAGUUGUGAAACUGAAAGAAACUUUUGUGAUAUAUAAUUAAUGAAAAGCAAAUUUUAGACAACCAUGAUAAAAUUCUCUCUAU